AUUGAAUGCUGGCGGCAGGCCUAACACAUGCAAGUCGAGCGGAUGAAGGGAGCUUGCUCCUGGAUUCAGCGGCGGACGGGUGAGUAAUGCCUAGGAAUCUGCCUGGCAGUGGGGGAUAACGUCCGGAAACGGGCGCUAAUACCGCAUACGUCCUGAGGGAGAAAGUGGGGGAUCUUCGGACCUCACGCUAUCAGAUGAGCCUAGGUCGGAUUAGCUAGUUGGUGGGGUAAAGGCCUACCAAGGCGACGAUCCGUAACUGGUCUGAGAGGAUGAUCAGUCACACUGGAACUGAGACACGGUCCAGACUCCUACGGGAGGCAGCAGUUGGGAAUAUUGGACAAUGGGCGAAAGCCUGAUCCAGCCAUGCCGCGUGUGUGAAGAAGGUCUUCGGAUUGUAAAGCACUUUAAGUUGGGAGGAAGGGCAGUAAGUUAAUACCUUGCUGUUUUGACGUUACCAACAGAAUAAGCACCGGCUAACUUCGUG
rnacentral:rRNA from 1 species